rnacentral:rRNA from 1 species
GACGAACGCUGGCGGCGUGCUUAACACAUGCAAGUCGAACGGAAAGGCCCUGCUUUUGUGGGGUGCUCGAGUGGCGAACGGGUGAGUAACACGUGAGUAACCUGCCCUUGACUUUGGGAUAACUUCAGGAAACUGGGGCUAAUACCGGAUAGGAGCUCCUGCUGCAUGGUGGGGGUUGGAAAGUUUCGGCGGUUGGGGAUGGACUCGCGGCUUAUCAGCUUGUUGGUGGGGUAGUGGCUUACCAAGGCUUUGACGGGUAGCCGGCCUGAGAGGGUGACCGGCCACAUUGGGACUGGGAUACGGCCCAGACUACUACGGGAGGCAGCAGUGGGGAAUAUUGCACAAUGGGCGGAAGCCUGAUGCAGCAACGCCGCGUGCGGGAUGACGGCCUUCGGGUUGUAAACCGCUUUCGCCUGUGACGAAGCGUGAGUGACGGUAAUGGGUAAAGAAGCACCGGCUAACUACGUG